rnacentral:rRNA from 1 species
GACAGAGGGUGCAAACGUUGUUCGGAAUUACUGGGCAUAAAGCGCACGUAGGUGGUCCACUAAGUCGAGUGUGAAAUCCCCCGGCUCAACCGGGGAAUGGCGCUCGAUACUGGUGGGCCAGAGGUCGGUAGGGGUGAGCGGAACUCCAGGUGGAGCGGUGAAAUGCGUAGAUAUCUGGAGGAACACCGGUGGCGAAAGCGGCUCACUGGAUCGAAUCUGACACUGAGGUGCGAAAGCUAGGGUAGCAAACGGG